GAUAAUCCUUUUCCUCUCAUGAGGAAAAGCUGAAAGUCGGUUUACGCUGACACUUACAGAUGGGCCCGCGGCGCAUUAGCUAGUUGGUGAGGUAACGGCUCACCAAGGCGACGAUGCGUAGCCGACCUGAGAGGGUGAUCGGCCACACUGGGACUGAGACACGGCCCAGACUCCUACGGGAGGCAGCAGUAGGGAAUCUUCCGCAAUGGACGAAAGUCUGACGGAGCAACGCCGCGUGAGCGAUGAAGGCCUUCGGGUCGUAAAGCUCUGUUGUUAGGGAAGAACAAGUACCGGAGUAACUGCCGGUACCUUGACGGUACCUAACCAGAAAGCCACGGCUAACUACGUGCCAGCAGCCGCGGUAAUACGUAGGUGGCAAGCGUUGUCCGGAAUUAUUGGGCGUAAAGCGCGCGCAGGCGGUCCUUUAAGUCUGAUGUGAAAGCCCACGGCUCAACC
rnacentral:rRNA from 2 species